AUUAGUUCAGCUGUGGUUCUAGACGGCCUUCGUUUCGGCGGGUACCGCUUCGGCUUCUUCAGGGCCUUGAGGCGGGGUCUAGGUAGCCAGCGGCGGGCCGAGGGUACCGUUGGGAGUCGCGGCGGCGAGCGGUGACGGGAGGAAUAGAGGAAGCGACGGGAGGAAGAGGCGCGCGAACAGAGGCAGCCUGGGAUGAGCCCAGUCCCGCGUCGUGGGUUUAAGCCGCUGAUGCUCCGAGUCGCCGUGACCUACCUCGAGUGGGAGGUGGAGGGGAGGAGGCUGACCAUGGCGUUGUGGAGGCUGUUGCUGGAGCGAAUGACCCCGGAGCUGAUGGGCGGGGAGAGGCGGAUGGUCUCGGCCGAGGUGCGGGCGGAGUAGUUGCGGAGGGAGGGGCUGCGGCAGCGGGAGGCUAGGAGAGCGCCCAAACUCAGGGUGCUUAGCAUGCCCGGGGAGACGUGAUUGUAAAUCGUGUAGCACCACGCGUCUUGAGGCACAGACAAAGUUCAGAGACACCAGACAAAGGACGUCCUUCAACGAAUACGCCACCUGUCAUGAGAGCAGACUAGAGUACCACAAGAAGGGGCGCCGCGAUACCAAGCACACCCGCAUGUAGUUCCUACCCCAACCGCCAUCACCCCUCUCCGCUCUCCCCACCUACACCGACGAGCGGUACCAAGAAGAGUUGGGCACAAAUCAUGACUAGCUGGUGCCGGUAAAAGUCAUAUUGACGUAGUCAGAACCCGACUGUGAGCCCCGCUAACGACCAUAAGACAGCUCCUUGCUUGAACAACGACGACGAGAGAAGUCAGAACGUUAAUUGGUAUUCGUCUACUCGUACAUGAAACGCGGUCGAAAAAAACCCGUAGAAGAACCUUUUACGGACUUCGCCUUCACAGGUUAACAACUCUAGUACUUUGAACCAAAACAACAUGACCCUUGAAAACGAGAACAAACCACCGGAAUAAACGUAAGAAUACUCCGACGGUACGUCCAUUAGAGAGCUAACCGAGGCAAACUCUCCCCAAAUAUACUCCUAAUACAACGUUUAAAGACCACAUGGUGGAGUCAAGAAUAGUUCACCUUCGCUAACAUGCGUUAUUUCGGCGACUUUGAAUACUCAGAAAGACGAUGGUAGGACCGAAAGAACGGAAGUAAAUAAGUCGUUCAGUUCAGUGGUUCAUUAGAACCGAAGGAGAUAAGAGACAACUUGUCGAGCAAGAGAAAGAUAGAUAAGAGCAUGGUUCACGUGCUCUUUAGUUAAAACGAAGGAGAAAAUGGGCGUUCGGAAAAUCGUAAUGUGCUUGGAGUGGACGUACCUACCAAGUGCAUGAUACGUGAAAAAAGCUACAUGGGCGAAUAGACGGCACUAGUCGAAGAAGAUGUUAUAUAUCGACAAGAACCUAAUAAGCAAGAAUAAAUGAUGAGUGGACCACCUUUGAUACCUUUCCCCUGCUUGUAAAGCAGACCUUGUUACCGUCAAGACUCGGACGGUAACAAUACGAGCUAGAACGAAGUGUGACACAUGGACGUUUAUCUCGGAGGUUUCUCCAUAGGGAAGGAGAAACUUCGUGACUAUUACAAGUAGACGAAGAGUGUCAAAUAAUAAAACUGGGACAUGUGUUUAAUAUUCGUUACCUACAACCUGAAGGUGGGAUCUGGACAUCCAUCGUUCUUCCUGGAUACUAACCUUUAAAACUGUCGAUUAAAAUGUCUUUUAUCAGUAACAUGGUAACAUUGGAACUCACACAAGGAAGACAUUGCCUUAACUAAGUGUAAAAUACUUUACCUACUUUAGAAACGUACACCUCGUCUAUGCUUAUUUAAAA
rnacentral:rRNA from 1 species